AUUGGCAUCUCCUGAGCAUCUUGUUAAAAUGUCGAUUCUGAUUCAGUAGGCCUGGGUGUGGCCUGGGAAUCUGCAUUUCUAGCAAGCUCCCAGGUGAUGCCAAU
rnacentral:pre_miRNA from 1 species